rnacentral:rRNA from 2 species
UGGAUCCAGACUUUGAUUCUGGCUCAGGAUGAACGCUAGCUACAGGCUUAACACAUGCAAGUCGAGGGCAGCAUGACGAUAGCUUGCUAUUGUUGAUGGCGACCGGCGCACGGGUGAGUAACGCGUAUCCAACCUGCCCUUGUCCAUCGGAUAACCCGUCGAAAGGCGGCCUAACACGAUAUGCAGUUCUCAGCAGGCAUCUAACGAGAACGAAAUGCGAAGGAGAAGGAUGGGGAUGCGUCUGAUUAGCUUGUUGGCGGGGUAACGGCCCACCAAGGCGACGAUCAGUAGGGGUUCUGAGAGGAAGGUCCCCCACAUUGGAACUGAGACACGGUCCAAACUCCUACGGGAGGCAGCAGUGAGGAAUAUUGGUCAAUGGGCGAGAGCCUGAACCAGCCAAGUAGCGUGCAGGAUGACGGCCCUAUGGGUUGUAAACUGCUUUUAUGCGGGGAUAAAGUGAGCCACGUGUGGCUUAUUGCAGGUACCGCAUGAAUAAGGACCGGCUAAUUCCGUGCCAGCAGCCGCGGUAAUACGGAAGGUCCGGGCGUUAUCCGGAUUUAUUGGGUUUAAAGGGAGCGUAGGCCGUCUGGUAAGCGUGUUGUGAAAUGUCGGGGCUCAACCUGGGCAUUGCAGCGCGAACUGUCAGACUUGAGUGCGCGGGAAGUAGGCGGAAUUCGUCGUGUAGCGGUGAAAUGCUUAGAUAUGACGAAGAACUCCGAUUGCGAAGGCAGCCUGCUGUAGCGCAACUGACGCUGAAGCUCGAAAGCGUGGGUAUCGAACAGGAUUAGAUACCCUGGUAGUCCACGCGGUAAACGAUGGAUGCUCGCUGUUUGCGUCUGACGUAAGCGGCCAAGCGAAAGCGUUAAGCAUCCCACCUGGGGAGUACGCCGGCAACGGUGCAACUCAAAUGAAUUGACGGA